ACCGCAAUCCACUUCCUUCGAUACCUUUUUAAUAGAAAUUCUCACUCUGUUCGUUUGAACGAAUUUCUUUUCUUUAAUAUUCCACCUCGGUUUUCUUUACACGUUGCAUUUCGUGUCGCAGGAGUAUUCUAACCGCGAAAUAACAGUGUUGUCAUAACGAGGAGUGCUGCAGUCAAAACACACGGAUUAUACAAAAGUGUUCGAUGAGUUAAACACAGGAAAAUAAAUGUGCUCAUCUCGUUAAAAAACGUUCUCUUAGAAAAUUAUUGGUUGUUUUCGCGUACGCCCACAGUAUCUAUAGACAUGUAUUCCUGUGCAUUUUAUCAGGGCUACCAAUUUUGCUGGACGACAUUUCCUGCUGUUCUGUUUCUUUGCAAGUACAUUGAAAUAGAUGCUCGGACAUAUGAUAUGCGGUGCAUACGGACAUAGCGAAUAUAGUCUAGUGUUUGUGAAAGUUUCAAGAUAUCAAGUAUGUACAUACACUGCCUGAGUAUGCAGACCCUUACUUUACUUUCUCGCACUGACAAAAUACCAUCGGCUCUCAUCGUAAAAAGUUAAGCUACUUUUUAAUGAGAAACAUGACAGAUAUCGUCACGGCAUAAUUGUCCCAUGUCGUUUCAUAAAGAGUCAAGGGCCGACAAUUUGUAAGGCGAAAGCUAUUUAUAUACAUAUAUACAAUAUAUACGCACACAGAUCUCUCACUACGCACUACUUUCCUCCCACAAGUGUACAAGGUGUAUCAACCUAACCUAUAAACUCCAUGAUUGAUCAUACCUGGCCACAUCCUACUCUGAAGAUGAACGGAGAAUCAAUUACCUGAGCUAAGAGGCUAAAAGCUAAACAAACCAACCGUGAUAACAUCUCAUCUCAUCUUACCACCAGCCACCCAAGAAAUUCGGCUAAAGUCUAACGUUUCUUAAUGAUACGUGUGAAACAAGGGAAUCAAAUAGAAAAAAAUAGUAUACUGAGAAUCUUUGGAUACUUCUUCCAGGAAAUUUCAGUCCUGUGGUUUUUAGACGGCAGGAAAUGAUCCAGAAACAGGAAAACCUAAAGGCCAGAACGCAACUUCGAAGACGCGGGAGAUAAGAAAAUAGAAGUAAGUCAAAGUACCUCGAUGUAACAGGCGGCUACCGUCUACGUGGGCCUUAAUGAAGGAGAACAGAGGGCGUGCUCGGGUGCACCGGCCACCGAGCAAUGUAUCGAAACCCGUAAUUAUGAGGCCGACUACAGAUCCGAUCCAUAAUGGCUAUUAACAGGUACCUUUUGGCGACAGCGUUCGAAUGCAGUAAAAACACCUGGGUCCUACACUUGGGCCCUAUACCUUGCAAGACGACAUCUGGCCCACGCAUCUGUAUGAGAACGUGCAUAUGGAUAUAGACACCCGGUACACGAGGUAUUAAGUAUUACUUCACUGAUGGGCACACGUGAGACCCAUUGGGACUGUUGAAAGGCGGUAACGAGCUGCUAGCAUAAGUUUUUCCCAUAUAAAUUGAACGUACACCUAAUGGCGGAUAUAUAAUCGGCGACCGUUUGCCUUAUGGGAUGAUAUCCUGGCGUCAAGUAUCGCACACAAUAAGAAAAGAGAGAGAGACAGAGACUAAGAAAUGAAUACAAAAGAUCUUCUGGGUGUCGCAGCGUUUUGUACCGUAAAACAUGUCGUUAGGAACAGCCGUAAUGUGCGUUCGGGCGCAAUUAGCUGUGGCUACUUGCAAAUGCAAUUUCAUUUGUAAAUUUCACGGAUCUCGGCGCCAUUACGUUGACAGGGCGAAUGAGGAUGGCCGUCAGUUCUCAUCGCAAACUGUUUAUCACUCCUGUGGCUACUUUGUAAUUAACGUCUUCGGGCCUCUCCCCUUUCCUCGUUAGUUUCCUAUUGUUAUCAGAUAGCCAAUGGAUUUCUAGGAACGGCUGGUCGAGCUAGCAUUCCAAUGAAUGUACUUAAAGGAGUACGUGCACUUUAUGGAUGGCUUUUGAAUAAAUACACGUUCUAGAUACGCGUAUCAGGACGUAACAGAAGCGUACGCUUAGCAAUAAGAAGAAUCGAAGAAGAGAAAAAAGUACAAUUGCCUUGGCACGUUCGGCUCCGGAAAAGAACGUUAAAGUAGCUUGAUGAUUUUUAAUGUUUGCUUAGGUCGCUGUCGUGACUUCUUGGAGCAUAGAUAUAUAUUGUACUUAUGAGUUUUCUCUGUGGCUUCACUGAAACCCGACUUGCCUUGGAAAUUGAGGAUCGUACGAUCAUCUUGUCUUCGGGGAGGUUAAUGACGGCAAUGGACGUAGGACGCAGGACGCAAGAACCGGGACCGGAAACCGUGGCAACUAAUUUCACGAUAUAAAAAAGAGGGCCGGCUCUUGGAGCACCUAAGAAGACAAAGGACAGCCGGUUUUAUAUUCCUGGACUAAUCUACCUGUGUAUUACAUACAGGCGAGAAGGAAAUGAUGCUUUAUUUAAUUUUGCUUAAAGAAAAUCGUUUCUUUUUUUCUCUUCGUACUCUCGUGAGACAUGGGGUUUUCAGAGGAUGAAAAAUUGAAUUAAAUUUUCUUGAGACUGUUGAAGGUUUCAUUGCGCAAGAAAAUCAUGUGUGUACUCAAGCUGACGGAUGGCACUAAAUGCUACGAUAAUUUAACGGCGGUUGAGUACGCCUUGGAUCAAUAGAAACGAUUCGAUCGAGUGACUGCACGGUCUCUCGUUCCCUCUGCGUGUAUAAAAGUCUCGAGUGAAAGGAAGACAGACAGAGAAAAAGAGGGUGAGAGAGAGAGAGAGAGA